ACAUGACUAUUUUGCAUUAUUAAUUGUUUUUAUGGUUUAGAUACAAAAACAUUUUAUCACAAAUAAACUGCAAGUCCGUGAUGAAAAUCUGAAGCUCUGUACACGCAGGGAUUAAGGAUCUCUCAGCUCUGUUAGUAUUUACUUCCAAUUUUUUGUACAUGUUCAUUCAGAGUGCCAUAUUAGGAUAUUUACAAACAUUGGUCUAUUUUAAUACAUAUUAACAAAAAUCAUUUCUGGCAUUUACAGGUCAUU